rnacentral:rRNA from 1 species
UACGUAGGGUGCGAGCGUUGUCCGGAAUUACUGGGCGUAAAGAGCUCGUAGGUGGUUUGUCGCGUUGUUCGUGAAAACUCACAACUCAAUUGUGGGCGUGCGGGCGAUACGGGCAGACUGGAGUACUGCAGGGGAGACUGGAAUUCCUGGUGUAGCGGUGGGAAUGCGCAGAUAUCAGGAGGAACACCGGUGGCGAAGGCGGUUCUCUGGGCAUGACCUGACGCUGAGGAGCGAAAGUGUGGGGAGCGAACAGG